AUGGCGAAUAGUGGCGUUCCUUUCCAAGUCCCGAUGUUCACAAAGAGCAACUACGACAAUUGGAGUAUAAGAAUGGUGGCUCUCCUUGGCACACACAACGUGUGGGAGAUAGUUGAGAAAGGCCUUGUCCAGUGUUGUCAAAUUGCGGCCAUGGCAGAUUGUGGUUGCGGAAAUUCAAAAUAG